rnacentral:misc_RNA from 1 species
GAUGAAGAACGCAGCGAAAUGCGAUAAGUAAUGUGAAUUGCAGAAUUCAGUGAAUCAUCGAGUCUUUGAACGCACAUUGCGCCCGCCAGUAUUCUGGCGGGCAUGCCUGUUCGAGCGUCAUUACAACCCUCAGGCCCCCGGGCCUGGCGUUGGGGAUCGGCGGAGCCCCCCGUGGGCACACGCCGUCCCCCAAAUACAGUGGCGGUCCCGCCGCAGCUUCCAUCGCGUAGUAGCUAACACCUCGCGACUGGAGAGCGGCGCGGCCACGCCGUAAAACACCCAACUCUUCUGAAGUUGACCUCGAAUCAGGUAGGAAUACCCGCUGAACUUAAGCAUAUCAAUAAGCGGAGGA